GGCGACGUGGCCGAGUGGUUCAGGCAAGGGCCUGCAAAGCCCUCUACCCGGGUUCGAUUCCCGGCGUCGCCU
rnacentral:tRNA from 1 species